AUUGAACGCUGGCGGCAGGCCUAACACAUGCAAGUCGAGCGGAGCGGCUGACGGGUGAGUAAUGCCUAUGUCUCUGCCUGGUAGUGGGGGAUAACGUCCGGAAACGGGCGCUAAUACCGCAUCCUAUCAGAUUAGCCUAGUUCGGAUUCGCUAUUUGGUGGGGUAAAGGCCUACCAAGGCGACGAUCCGUAACUGGUCUGAGAGGAUGAUCAGUCACACUGGAACUGUGACACGGUCCAGACUCCUACGGGAGGCAGCAGUGGGGAAUAUUGGACAAUGGGCGAAAGCCUGAUCCAGCCAUGCCGCGUGUGUGAAGAAGGUCUUCGGAUUGUAAAGCACUUUAAGUUGGGAGGCGUUACCAACAGAAUAAGCACCGGCUAACUUCGUGCCAGCAGCCGCGGUAAUAG
rnacentral:rRNA from 1 species